GCCCGCUCAGAAACUCAAAGGAAUUGACGGGGCCGGCACAAGCGGUGGAGUAUGUGGUUUAAUUCGAUGCAACGCGAAGAACCUUACCUGGUCUUGACAUCCCGGAGACCCUUAGGAAACUAGGGGGUGCUUCCAUCUGGAAGAAUCUGGAGACAGGUGCUGCAUGGCUGUCGUCAGCUCGUGUCGUGAGAUGUUGGGUUAAGUCCCGCAACGAGCGCAACCCUUGCCUUUAGUUGCCAGCAGUUCGGCUGGGCACUCUAAAGGGACUGCCGGUGUUAAACCGGAGGAAGGUGGGGAUGACGUCAAGUCCUCAUGGCCUUUAUGACCAGGGCUACACACGUACUACAAUGGCCGAUACAAAGGGCAGCGACACUGCGAGGUGAAGCCAAUCCCGUAAAAUCGGUCUCAGUCCGGAUUGGAGUCUGCAACUCGACUCCAUGAAGUUGGAAUCGCUAGUAAUCGUGGAUCAGCAUGCCACGGUGAAUACGUUCCCGGGCCUU
rnacentral:rRNA from 1 species